rnacentral:rRNA from 1 species
GAUCAUGGCUCAGGAUGAACGCUGGCGGCGUGCUUAACACAUGCAAGUCGAACGAAGCAACUAUCUUGCUGCAAGAAGUGACUAGUGGCGGACGGGUGAGUAACGCGUGGGUAACCUGCCUCAUACAGGGGGAUAACAGUUGGAAACGACUGCUAAGACCGCAUAACCCGCUAGUGUCGCAUGACACGGACGGAAAAUAUUUAUAGGUAUGAGAUGGGCCCGCGUCUGAUUAGCUAGUUGGUAAGGUAACGGCUUACCAAGGCGACGAUCAGUAGCCGACUUGAGAGAGUGAUCGGCCACAUUGGGACUGAGACACGGCCCAAACUCCUACGGGAGGCAGCAGUGGGGAAUAUUGGACAAUGGGGGAAACCCUGAUCCAGCGAACCGCCGCGUGAGUGAAGAAGUAUUUCGGUAUGUAAAGCUCUAUCAGCAGGGAAGAUAAUGACAGUACCUGACUAAGAAGCCCCGGCUAACUACGUGCCAGCAGCCGC